AACCCCUCCUCUCAGUUAAAGGCUCUACUGCAGCUGUGCCGCUGCUCCUUCCAGGAUGGCUGCCCUCGCUGUAAACAAGCCCGGAGCAGGAGUAGACAGUGGGCGGCAGGGCAGCCGGGGGACGGCUGUGGUGAAGGUUCUGGAGUGUGGUGUUUGUGAAGAUGUCUUCUCUCUGCAAGGAGAUAAAGUUCCUCGCCUUCUCCUUUGUGGCCACACAGUCUGUCAUGACUGUCUCACACGCUUGCCUCUGCAUGGAAGAGCAAUACGUUGCCCAUUUGAUCGACAAGUGACAGACCUAGGAGAUUCAGGUGUCUGGGGUUUGAAAAAAAAUUUUGCUUUACUGGAGCUUUUAGAACGUUUGCAAAAUGGACAUAUUGGUCAGUAUGGAGCUGCAGAAGAAGCCCUUGGGAUAUCUGGAGAGGUACUCAUGGACCUUGUUGAAAUAUUUACUUCAAGAUGCUUUUGUAAUCCUAAAAUGUUUUCCAAUAUUUGUACAAUAUUACCUUAUUUGCUGUAUCUGUGAGAAUUUAGGAACACAAGUUUUUAUGACAUUACAAUUCUAAAGUAGCUACUGUUCUCAAAAAUAAAACAAUUAAAUUUGUUG
rnacentral:lncRNA from 1 species